GCUGAACUCUUCGCUCGGGACGAUCUCCGGCGGCAUCAUAAUGGCGAAUUCACCCUUCCGCCUCCCUUUCCUCCUCCUCCUCCUCGGCCUCCUCGCCACCUCCUCCACCGCCGAGAUCAAAUCCCUCAAGAUCUCCUCCGACAACCGUCCCAUGAUUCUCUUCGAGAAAUUUGGAUUCACUCACACCGGCCAGGUCUCCAUUUCCGUCAAAUCCGUCUCGGUUACUACCUCCCUUGCUGAAACCGAUCCUUCUCGCCUUGGAUUCUUCCUCUUAUCUGAAGAA
rnacentral:misc_RNA from 1 species